rnacentral:rRNA from 1 species
CCUACGGGAGGCAGCAGUGAGGAAUAUUGCGCAAUGCCCGAAAGGGUGACGCAGCGACGCCGCGUGGGGGAUGAAGGCCCUCUGGGUCGUAAACUCCUUUGACAGGGGAAUAACGGUUCGCUACAGGCGGACGUGAAUGUACCCUGAAAACAAGCAUCGGCUAACUACGUGCCAGCAGCCGCGGUAAUA